rnacentral:rRNA from 1 species
UACAGAGACUGCAAGCGUUAUUCGGAUUCACUGGGCGUAAAGGGCGCGUAGGCGGCCACGCACGUCCGUUGUGAAAUCGCCCGGCUCAACUGGGCGGGGUCGGCGGAUACGGCGUGGCUGGAGCAAGCUAGGGGGCAAUGGAAUUCCCGGUGUAGUGGUGGAAUGCGUAGAUAUCGGGAGGAACACCAGUGGCGAAGGCGGUUGCCUGGAGCUUUGCUGACGCUGAGGCGCGAAAGCGUGGGGAGCAAACGGG